UUUGGUGACUCUGGCGAAGAGGUCACACCCGUUCCCAUGCCGAACACGGAAGUUAAGCUCUUCAGCGCCGAUGGUAGUUGGGGGUUUCCCCCUGUGAGAGUAGGACGUUGCCAAGC
rnacentral:rRNA from 1 species